ACCACCUACCAAUCUUGGGGUUGCCAGCCCCUGCAGUACAGCUCCUGUUGCCACUAACUGUUAAGACGCCUCCUGCAACUUCAUCAACUAUCUCCAUGUUGUGAACUCUACUGGUAAAUUCUCUGUUCUCCUCUUGCUAGGGUAAACAUAUAACUUAACAUUCAAACCAGAAGACUUUUGAGAUUUAGAGGCUCAGUAAACUAAUUAAUAUCCUUUGAUUUUUUUAAAUAUUAAUUUAUUGGGUCACAACUUGACUUUUAUUAUAGUGGUGAGCCUGUAGAAUAGUUUUAUUAAAAUAUUUUUAGAAAGAAAAUUAUUUCUAUAAAUAAAUAGAACUUAUAUCUGUGCUUACCAAGAUAAAAUAAAAAGUUCCUUUAUUACUACUUCUAUGUUAAACUAUAUUGAUAUUAUUGAUAAUCUGAACAUCAAAAAUAACAUAAGUAAAAUAAUUAUUCCUGAUACACAGGCACAGAAUUUCAUUAGUUUUUCAGCUGUAUCUGUCUCUAAUAUUAGGUCACUAGAAUUUUUAAUAAGAAGGUAUUUUUAAAUAACAUUGAUCUUAUUAUUUUAAAUUAAUUGUGAUAAAAUUACCUAUAAACUUCUUCAAAUGUGAGUUAUUAAGGUUUUUUUUAAAAUAAUUGGUGCUUUCAAAUGGCUCUUCUCUACAGAACGUAAUGUUUUUAGUUGUGAAACUAAUCUCUCUAUAGGUGCUGAGGUCCCUGGAAAGCUCAGGGAAAAUUCUGUUAAAUGGAAGAUGUUCUGAAUUCUAAAUUUUCAUAUGAAAACAUUUUAGUUGAAAUAUUUUCAGAUUCUAUAUCAUUAACUCUAUUCAGAUUAUUUAUGAGAAAAAAAUCUGUCAAAUAAGUUGUAUCUACUUAAGAUUCUUUUGCUAAAUUUAAAUGUUGCAAAAUUAGAGGCCUUAUUAAUUUCCUUCAUGCCUGGUACAGAAUAAAAAUGGAUCCAAAACACAUUUUAAAAAUAAGUUGAUUUAAAAGAUUCUUUGCACAAGUGAUGAUAUCACAAAGCAUAGGUCUUCCACUUCCAAGUAGGAUGUAACAGUUUUCAGCAGGUCAAUGUUCCUGCUGCAACAAAUAAAAAAAGCCAGAAAAUUACAAAAGUCUUACUUUUAAAGACGGCAUAGAGAUGUGCAAACAUGUGGAAACAUGUAGACAACAUGACCUAAAAUUCCAGAGAGGCAGAACUCUUCUAAGGUGAAAUGACAGUUACUAGCCAUUUUCCCUCCUGGGGGCAUUUGCUGAUUCUAGACAUAAGCUGAAUAUUGAGUCCGGACCAGGCAAGAGAGAGGUGGGAGAUGGCAAAGAUUUUACUGAUUGUGCAAGGCUAGAGGGUAAAUUGUGAAUGUGAGGAAGUCUGAAACACAUAGGUGAUUUUCCCAAUAGGGCAUUUGCUAAGCUCCAGGAAUACAUGGAAGGCUGGUGAGCCAGAUUGUCAUCUUUUAAAAGCAAAGCAGAAAUUUUCACAGUCCUGUAGUGCUGUGAAAGAGACCACCCAUAGUGGCCUCUCCCUAAUUUGCCAGAUUUUGAAGCUGUGUAGAAUGAGAGACUGGAGAGCUGUGCUAAGAAACUAUGAAAGGAAGAGCUAGAUCUCCUGUAGUCUUUCAGAUCUGAGAAGAUAGAUGCCUGACAGUCUCUUAAUAAAAGGCCCAUGAGGGCUACACCCAAGGAACAGGGUGAAGCAGAGGUAGAGUAAGUUUUAUUUAAAUGACAACCCAACCUAACCAAGCAUAAUCUCUGAUUGCACUGAAGUAAUCAGCCUCUCAUCCUCUGCUUAAUAAAACAAUGAGGGAACCCUCUCUGGUGAAAGAUAGCAUAAUCUGAGGCCUCUCUGUUUCUUUUAUAUAUUAUGUAUGCAUUAAAACAAGCAAAAAACAAAAACAAAACAGGGAAUCAAGAGAAAGAACAGACUUUAGAAGCAUACCUAUAGCAGAUUAUCCAGACAUUUAGGGCACAAGAAUUUUAAAACAGCUCUGAUUAAUAUUUUAAAGAAAAUAGAGGAAAAAGAUGUAUACAAACAAAUAAAAAGAUGGAGAAUUUCAACAGAGAAUUUGAACCUAUAAAAAUGAAAUGGACAUAUGCAAACUAAAAUAUACAAAUCUGGAAAUAAAAAUUCAGUGAUAGGUUUAAUAGCAGUUUGGACACAUCAGAGCAUAAGAUGAGUGAACUGAAAGACAAGGCAAUUCAAAAUAUACCCCCCCUCAAUACCCAAACUAAAGCCCACAGAGAAAAAAGACCAGAAAAAAAAAAAAAAA